rnacentral:rRNA from 1 species
AUUGAACGCUGGCGGCAUGCCUUACACAUGCAAGUCGAACGGCAGCACGGGUGCUUGCACCUGGUGGCGAGUGGCGAACGGGUGAGUAAUACAUCGGAACAUGUCCUGUAGUGGGGGAUAGCCCGGCGAAAGCCGAAUUAAUACCGCAUACGAUCUACGGAUGAAAGCGGGGGACCUUCGGGCCUCGCGCUAUAGGGUUGGCCGAUGGCUGAUUAGCUAGUUGGUGGGGUAAAGGCCUACCAAGGCGACGAUCAGUAGCUGGUCUGAGAGGACGACCAGCCAAACGGGGACUGAGACACGGCCCAGACUCCUACGGGAGGCAGCAGUGGGGAAUUUUGGACAAUGGGCGAAAGCCUGAUCCAGCAAUGCCGCGUGUGUGAAGAAGGCCUUCGGGUUGUAAAGCACUUUUGUCCGGAAAGAAAUCCUUGGCCCUAAUACGGUCGGGGGAUGACGGUACCGGAAGAAUAAGCACCGGCUAACUACGUG